AGCUACGCCCAUACACCUGAAUGCACUGAUCUGUCUGAUUUGGAAGCUAAGCAGGGUCGGGCCUAGCUUAGUACUUAGAUGGGAGACCCCUGGGAUGCCAGGUGCUGUAGGCU
rnacentral:rRNA from 1 species